UACGUAGGGUGCGAGCGUUAAUCGGAAUUACUGGGCGUAAAGCGUGCGCAGGCGGUUUGGUAAGACAGAUGUGAAAUCCCCGGGCUCAACCUGGGAAUUGCAUUUGUGACUGCCCGACUAGAGUGUGUCAGAGGGGGGUAGAAUUCCACGUGUAGCAGUGAAAUGCGUAGAGAUGUGGAGGAAUACCGAUGGCGAAGGCAGCCCCCUGGGAUAACACUGACGCUCAUGCACGAAAGCGUGGGGAGCAACAGG
rnacentral:rRNA from 1 species